rnacentral:rRNA from 1 species
UACGGGGGGGGCAAGCGUUGUUCGGAAUUACUGGGCGUAAAGGGCUCGUAGGCGGCCAACUAAGUCGGAUGUGAAAUCCCCAGGCUCAACUUGGGAACUGCAUCCGAUACUGGAUGGCUUGAAUCCGGGAGAGGGAUGCAGAAUUCCAGGUGUAGCGGUGAAAUGCGUAGAUAUCUGGAGGAAUACCGGUGGCGAAGGCGGCAUCCUGGACCGGCAUUGACGCUGAGGAGCGAAAGCUAGGGGAGCAAACGGG